GACGAACGCUGGCGGCGUGCUUAACACAUGCAAGUCGAACGGAGAGGCCCUGCUUUUGUGGGUUGCUCGAGUGGCGAACGGGUGAGUAACACGUGAGUAACCUGCCCUUGACGUUGGGAUAACUUCAGGAAACUGGGGCUAAUACCGGAUAGGAGCUCCUGCUGCAUGGUGGGGGUUGGAAAGUUUCGGCGGUUGGGGAUGGACUCGCGGCUUAUCAGCUUGUUGGUGGGGUAGUGGCUUACCAAGGCGUUGAUGGGUAGCCGGCCUGAGAGGGUGACCGGCAAAAUUGGGACUGAGAUACGGCCCAGACUCCUACGGGAGGCAGCAGUGGGGAAUAUUGCACAAUGGGCGGAAGCCUGAUGCAGCAAUGCCGCGUGCGGGAUGAAGGCCUUCGGGUUAUAAACCGAUUUCGCCUGUGACGAAGCGUGAGUGACGGUAAUGGGUAAAGAAGCAACGGCUAACUACGUG
rnacentral:rRNA from 1 species